rnacentral:rRNA from 1 species
GCCAGACUCCUACGGGAGGCAGCAGUGGGGAAUAUUGCACAAUGGGGGGAACCCUGAUGCAGCGACGCCGCGUGGGCGAAGAAGUAUUUCGGUAUGUAAAGCCCUAUCAACAGGGACGAAAGAAAUGACGGUACCUGACUAAGAAGCCCCGACUAACUACGUGCCAGCAGCCGCGGUAAUACGUAGGGGGCAAGCGUUAUCCGGAUUUACUGGGUGUAAAGGGAGCGUAGACGGCGAUGCAAGCCAGAUGUGAAAGCCCGGGGCUCAACCCCGGGACUGCAUUUGGAACUGUGUGGCUGGAGUGUCGGAGAGGCGGGCGGAAUUCCUAGUGUAGCGGUGAAAUGCGUAGAUAUUAGGAGGAACACCAGUGGCGAAGGCGGCCUGCUGGACGAUGACUGACGUUGAGGCUCGAAAGCGUGGGGAGCAAACAGGAUUAGAUACCCGCGUAAU